rnacentral:rRNA from 1 species
AGAGUUUGAUCAUGGCUCAGAGUGAACGCUGGCGGCGUGCUUAACACAUGCAAGUCGAACGGUAACAGAAAGAAGCUUGCUUCUUUGCUGACGAGUGGCGCACGGGUGAGUAAUGUAUAGCUAACGUGCCCCUUAGAGGGGGAUAACAGUUGGAAACGACUGCUAAUACCCCAUACUCCUUCUUACUUAAUGUAGGUUGGGAAAGUUUUUUCGCUAAGGGAUCGGGCUAUAUGGUAUCAGUUAGUUGGUGAGGUAACGGCUCACCAAGACAAUGACGCCUAUCUGGUCUGAGAGGAUGAUCAGACACACUGGAACUGAGACACGGUCCAGACUCCUACGGGAGGCAGCAGUGGGGAAUAUUGCACAAUGGAGGAAACUCUGAUGCAGCAACGCCGCGUGGAGGAUGACGCAUUUCGGUGUGUAAACUCCUUUUAUAUAGGAAGAUAAUGACGGUACUAUAUGAAUAAGCACCGGCUAACUCCGUGCCAGCAGCCGCGGUAAUACGGAGGGUGCAAGCGUUACUCGGAAUCACUGGGCGUAAAGCGCGCGCAGGCGGGUUUGUAAGUUGGAUGUGAAAGCCUACGGCUCAACCGUAGAACUGCAUCCAAAACUGCUUACCUAGAGUCUGGGAGGGGAAGAUGGAAUUAGUGGUGUAGGGGUAAAAUCCGUAGAGAUCACUAGGAAUACCAAAAGCGAAGGCGAUCUUCUGGAACAGUACUGACGCUGAGGCGCGAAAGCGUGGGGAGCAAACAGGAUUAGAUACCCUGGUAGUCCACGCCCUAAACUAUGAAUGUUAGUCGUCGGGUAGCUAGUCUACUCGGUGAUGCAGCUAACGCAUUAAACAUUCCGCCUGGGGAGUACGGUCGCAAGAUUAAAACUCAAAGGAAUAGACGGGGACCCGCACAAGUGGUGGAGCAUGUGGUUUAAUUCGAAGAUACGCGAAGAACCUUACCUGGCCUUGACAUUGAUAGAAUCCUGUAGAGAUACGGGAGUGCCCUUCGGGGAGCUUGAAAACAGGUGCUGCACGGCUGUCGUCAGCUCGUGUCGUGAGAUGUUGGGUUAAGUCCCGCAACGAGCGCAACCCUCGUUCUUAGUUACUAACGGUUCGGCCGAGGACUCUAAGAAGACUGCCUUCGCAAGGAGGAGGAAGGUGAGGACGACGUCAAGUCAUCAUGGCCCUUACGGCCAGGGCGACACACGUGCUACAAUGGGCAGUACAGAGGGAAGCAAAAUCGCGAGAUCAAGCAAAUCCCAGAAAGCUGUCCGUAGUCCGGAUCGGAGUCUGCAACUCGACUCCGUGAAGUCGGAAUCGCUAGUAAUCGCGAAUCAGCAUGUCGCGGUGAAUACGUUCCCGGGCCUUGUACACACCGCCCGUCACACCAUGGGAGUUUGUUGCACCAGAAGCAGGUAGUCUAACCGAAAGGAGGACGCUUGCCACGGUGUGGCCGAUGACUGGGGUGAAGUCGUAACAAGGUAGCCAAGGGCGAA